GUCUAUGGCCAUACUACCCUGACUAAAUGAACCCAAUUUUGACUGAUACUAGAAGCUAAGCAGGGUUGGGCCUGGUUAGUACUUAGGUGGGAGACUGCCUGGGAAUACUGGUUUCUGUAGGCU
rnacentral:rRNA from 1 species